UUGGCCCAUCUCCACUCAAUUUGAAUAUUUGGUUUAUCCAAAAGUUAUAUGGAUUUAAAGAAUAUUAUUGGGUUUUUUUCGUAGGUUCAUAGGCGAGGAUCCCUUGAGAGACCUGAUCACUCCCCAGGGCUGGUGACUGGCACUCCCUAACCUCGGGUCCUUUCUGGCUGUUGACAAGAGAUACCAGUGCCUUACCUUGUGGGCUUGUUCAUACAGCAGCAUACAACAUGGCAGCCGGCUUCUUCCAGAGCAGGUGAUCAAGAGAGGAAGGAGUUCUUAGCUCCCUGUUAGACAGAGGCUAGAUGUGGUCACGUUCUUCGGAUUUCAGAAUAAGCCACGAGGGUGCUAGAUGCCAACAGAAUUCCCGAGUUGAUGAAAAUCUUCUUUCUGAUUUAUUUAGAUAAAUCCUGGGAUCAUCUGUGAUUUUAAGAGAUAAAGACACUGCACUGAAUGUGUGCUACUGCAUCUAAGACCCACCGCACUAUCCUUGGAUGUAAGUUGACGGUGGAGACGGGAGAUGCUCGAGAGGAAAGCCCCUCAGGGGCAGGAGCAGUGGUGAGCGUGAGAACCAGGAGGGCAGGGGUGCCGUGGCCCCUCCCACGUCAGUGCUCACUGUGGACUCUGCCCACAGGCAGGCAUCCUCGCUGUGCUCCGGAAGCCUGAC